CUUUAUUAAAGGUGGGCAGAUUUAGUCAUGGUAAAAAAUUACAUUAAAGUGAUAUUCAACAGAGUGUACUUUAUCGUUUUUUAUCUAUAUCCCCAAAUAAAAUGUUGUGUGUGCAAUAAGCUCGGCCUACACUGGGUCUGAAAUGCGUGACCACUUUGUGUUGUGUGACCUAUCGGUGCAGAAGAAGUUCUACAGAGCAGAGCUGUAUAAAACCCUCUGCUGGGGAAAUGCUCACUGAUCUCCACCCCAGAGAUGGGGAUGUGGUUACUCAGCUGCAUGGCAGCCCUGUGCUUCUUAAGACACACGGAUGCUAAAAUCACCCAGACACCAAGCCUAGUACUGAAGAAAGGACAGACUGCCCAGCUGACAUGCAGACAAACUGAUGAUCAUAACUCUAUGUACUGGUAUCAGCAGCAGCAGGGGAAGGGGCUGCAGCUGAUCUAUUACUCAGUUGCUGCAGAGAACAAGGAGAAAGGUGAUAUUAAAGAUGGAUUCACAGCCUCCCGGCCACAGAUUGAAAUCUUUGACUUGAACAUCUCCUCUGUGAAGAUUGAGCACUCAGCUGUGUAUUUCUGUGCCAGCAGUUUAGACACAGUGCUUCAGAGUCACUUCCUCCCUCUACAGAAACCUCCCUCCUUCCCCCAACACUCCCUCAGAGAGAGCAGCUCCUCCCAUCUCCACAUAAGAGAGAGAUCAGGCUACUAUCAUACAGAAAGAAACAGCUCAUUACGCAUAGAAAUCAUGGCUCUAUAG